UGACUGCCUGACAGAAAAAUACCACAACCGUGGUGGUUGCUUCCUCAGGGGGACAAUCCUCCAUUACACUUUGGUUGGGUUGACCCCUGUGAUUUUCCCAAAUGUGGAAAACUCUGAUUCAUAAGUUAUGAUAGAGGGGGACUGCAUCUGCACCAG